rnacentral:rRNA from 1 species
AUGAGAGAGGGUCACGGAAGGAGCGUGACGAACUGCAGGCAAAGGGCGGCGGCGGCGCCGCUCGAUUUGAUCUGCGGGAGAGAGAAGAUGAGAGGGAGAGGGAGAGAGAGAAGGAAGAAGAGGAGAGGAGAGAGAAAGAGAGAGGAGAAAGGAGAGGAGGAGGGCGAUGACGGUCGGGAGAGGAUCACGGAAGGAGUGUCGCCGGCUCGUUGUCUUUUAUACCUACCCACACAGCUACCGGCUAUAGGGGUGUUGCGAGGAGUUAGAGGUCGUGCGCUGGCCGGAGCAACAGGAGCAACGAUAUGGCCGGCUCUAUUCUCUGCCACGGUUCCCUCCUCUUCCUUCAGCUCUCGAGAUCCCGGAUGUCCCGGAUGA